AUAAGAAGUCCGCUUAAUUUCCGUUAAGGAAAGCGGGGGAACCAACAACUGGGAACCAGUGUAACAAUCGGUACUAGUUAUGGGGUGAAUCCUGUUCCAGGUGCAUAAAUGCAUCCAUGCAGGUAGGGCAACUCUCACUGCCCGAAUCCGACAGCUAACCUCGUAAGCGUAUGGAGAGAGGAUGA
rnacentral:sRNA from 2 species